CGGGAGGCAGCAGUAGGGAAUCUUCCACAAUGGACGAAAGUCUGAUGGAGCAACGCCGCGUGAGUGAAGAAGGGUUUCGGCUCGUAAAACUCUGUUGUUAAAGAAGAACAUAUCUGAGAGUAACUGUUCAGGUAUUGACGGUAUUUAACCAGAAAGCCACGGCUAACUACGUGCCAGCAGCCGCGGUAAUA
rnacentral:rRNA from 1 species